CCUACGGGAGGCAGCAGUGAGGAAUAUUGGUCAAUGGGAGGAAUCCUGAACCAGCCAUGCCGCGUGCAGGACGACGGCUCUACGAGUUGUAAACUGCUUUUGUACCGGGGUAAAAUGCUCUACGAGUAGGGUUUUGAAAGUACGGUACGAAUAAGGAUCGGCUAACUCCGUGCACGCAGCCGCGGUAAUACGGAGGAUCCGAGCGUUUUCCGGAUUCAUUGGGUAUAAAGGGUCCGGAGGUUGUAUUAUAAGUUAGCGGGGAAAUACCGGUGCUCAACAUCGGUGCUGCCGUUGAUACUGGAGGACUAGAGUGCGGAUGCAGCAGGCGGAAGGUGUAGUGUAGCGGUGAAAUGCAUAGAUAUUACACAGAACACCGAUUGCGAAGGCAGCUUGCUAGGCCGGAUCUGACACUGAUGCACGAAAGCGUGGGGAUCGAACAGGAUUAGAUACCCCAGUAGUC
rnacentral:rRNA from 1 species